GACGAACGCUGGCGGCGUGCCUAAUACAUGCAAGUUGAGCGCUGACGGUUGGUACUUGUACCAACUGGAUGAGCAGCGAACGGGUGAGUAACGCGUGGGGAAUCUGCCUUUGAGCGGGGGACAACAUUUGGAAACGAAUGCUAAUACCGCAUAAAACCUUUAAACACAAGUUUUAAGUUUGAAAGAUGCAAUUGCAUCACUCAAAGAUGAUCCCGCGUUGUAUUAGCUAGUUGGUGAGGUAAAGGCUCACCAAGGCGAUGAUACAUAGCCGACCUGAGAGGGUGAUCGGCCACAUUGGGACUGAGACACGGCCCAAACUCCUACGGGAUGCAGCAGUAGGGAAUCUUCGGCAAUGGACGAAAGUCUGACCGAGCAACGCCGCGUGAGUGAAGAAGGGUUUCGGAUCGUAAAACUCUGUUGGUAGAGAAGAACGUUGGUGAGAGUGGAAAGCUCAUCAAGUGACGGUAACUACCCAGAAAGGGACGGCUAACUACGUG
rnacentral:rRNA from 1 species